UGUCUGUUUGAAGAUUCAAAAAGUAUAGCCUGCCCACUGAUGAAAAUAUUAAAGGGCCGCGGUAUCUUGACCGUGCUAAGGUAGCAUAAUCAUUAGCCUUUUAAUUGAAGGCUUGUAUGAAUGGCUGGACAAAGGAGACUCUGUCUUUAUAUUAUUAAUUGAAGUUAACUUUUAAGUGAAAAGGCUUAAAUACACUAAAGGGACGAUAAGACCCUAUAAAGCUUUAUAUAAAUAUAGAAGAAUUUAAAAUUAAUUUUAAAGAAUUAAGCUAAAAUAUUAUAUUUUAUUGGGGCGAUAAAAAUAUAACAAUUAUAAGUAACUGUUGAUAAAAAAUACUUAUAUAAAAGAAAUAAAAAUAAAUGGUCCUUUAUAGAGAUUAUAAGAUUAAGUUACUUUAGGGAUAACAGCGUAAUUUUUUUUAAGAGUUCAUAUCGAAAAAAAAGUUUGCGACCUCGAUGUUGAAUUAAAAUAUCUGUAUAAUGAAGAAGUUAUAAAAGAAAGUCUGUUCGACUUUUAAAUUUUUACGU
rnacentral:rRNA from 1 species